AUUGAACGCUGGCGGCAGGCCUAACACAUGCAAGUCGAGCGGAUGAAGGGAGCUUGCUCCUGGAUUCAGCGGCGGACGGGUGAGUAAUGCCUAGGAAUCUGCCUGGUAGUGGGGGAUAACGUCCGGAAACGGGUGCUAAUACCGCAUACGUCCUGAGGGAGAAAGUGGGGGAUCUUCGGACCUCUCGCUAUCAGAUGAGCCUAGGUCGGAUUAGCUAGUUGGUGGGGUAAAGGCCUACCAAGGCGACGAUCCGUAACUGGUCUGAGAGGAUGAUCAGUCACACUGGAACUGAGACACGGUCCAGACUCCUACGGGAGGCAGCAGGGGGGAAGAUUGGACAAUGGGCGAAAGCCUGAUCCAGCCAUGCCGCGUGUGUGAAGAAGGUCUUCGGAUUGUAAAGUACUUUAAGUUGGGAGGAAGGGCAGUAAGUUAAUACCUUGCUGUUUUGACGGUACCAACAGAAUAAGCACCGGCUAACUUCGUG
rnacentral:rRNA from 1 species